GCCGAGCUGUGAUGAUGAAGACGUUACGUCGCUUUCCUGAAAAUGACUGAUGUUUUAAGUCACUACCUCAUCUGAGCUUGUG